rfam:Zea mays cultivar B73 chromosome 6, whole genome shotgun sequence.
GAGGAUGACGAUAUGGUUUUGUCGCCCCUAUCUUAGAUCUAAUCUUUCGUAUCUAUGUUGACAUGUUAUCAAAUAUGACUC